AUGGAACUAUACUAAUGGAACACCAGCUUCGAGAUUUUAUGAUCAGAGUGCCGUCGCGCAUCUUUUUUCGCGCACCAUACCAAUUUGAAAAAUCGAUGAGGAUGCCAAAGAAGAAAUUUACUCCGAGAGCCACUUGGAUUGACCUUCAUUGAGAGUAAAACUUCCCCACACUAUAUUUUAUUAGAUCUGUAAAAACUUUAUCCAUUUUCUGACUAUCUGAUAAAAUAGAUACAAUUUCCCUGAAUAAUGGAUCGUCACAAAAGAUUUUUUUUUAAGGCCACUUCAUUAAAAUAGGUGUUUCCAGUACUUCCUCAUUUGGGUAUUUUACACAAAAUCUGGAUUUUUUUUUAUGUACAUGUCAUUUUUAUCAUCUGUCCCGCGCAACCAAACCAUCCACUUUUACCGGUCACCAAUGUUCUUAACAAGAUAUCAAGAAAGAGAGGCUGGUCCAUUAUUUGCGUAGUCCAGCCAGCUUUUUUUUUUUGACAACCUUUUUUCGUUCUCUCUCAUGAAGGAUAUGUUUUGAAAAUUAGUCUUACAAAAUACAAUUCCAAACCAACUCAUGCAGUUAUCGUCUUUUCACAGUAUUGAGGAGUCAUCCUUUUUGCUAGCCAGAGUGUUAAUUGGCAAAAGUGAAAAAUUCAUUUUGUUUAAUUUUUUAAAGUAAAUAUUCAUAACUAUAUCUUUUAUAUAAUAAUAUAUUUUUAAAAUAAUAAUCUUUUAUAUAGACAUGCUUUAAUAGAUCUAAUAAAUGAUUAACUCGGACCUACCAAUAUGGGUAUAUAAAUACUUAAAUCUGGGUAUUUAAAAUUUCGAAUGCGAUUUUUUAAAAAACCGAACUUAUAUUGAUCUAGAUCUAGAUCUCUUGUAUAAUAUCUAGAAUAAUAUCUCUAGAUCUACAACACCUAGACUAAAGUUAAAGACUAAGGUCUAGAUUUAUUUAACGUUUUAAAAAAAAAAUCAAUAGAUCUAAUAUAGACAGUCAUGAGAUCCACUCUAUUUUAUCUAGAUCUAGACCAUACAUGAGAUCAAUAAUUGUCAUUAUGAAUAUUUAUAGAUCUAGAUCUAGUCUAGAGUCUAGAUUCUAGUCAUUCUAGAUCUAUCGAUCAUCUAUGAUCUAGUCUGUCUAUAGCUAUACUUACUAUUAUACACUUUUACAGUAUAUGAGUAUACUCAUACGAGUCAUACUGGCUAUACUAUAUUAUUAACAAGUAGAACCAUGGCAACCAGUUCUGAUGAUGUACCAGAAUGGCUCAAGGAUCAUACUUAUACUAUUUCUACUCUCUGGGCAUCCAUUCAAUAUUUAAUUUAUGUUUGGAAAUGCAAGAAAAAGGCAUGCAUUCCUGAAAAGUCAAUGAUUGGUUGCACCUCUUAAAGAUUACUUUCUGUUAUGAGAAAAGAUGAGAUUCUUGGACUCCUGCAUAGCACCACCAGAAAGGAAAAUCCCAUCAUGUUGCAAAAUAAAAGUCUUGGACCAAUUUUAAUUUAAGAUAUAUAUAUUAUACUGUAAGCUGUAUACAUAUUUAUGUAUAUCCUGUCAUUCAGCCAUCAGGUUUGGAUUUAGUAUUUCUUUAAAUCUGUUUGAUAUUGUACUUGAAAACUAUUAAUCUGAGCCCCAUUAAAACAAGAGGGAGUGCAGUGGAUGAGUGGUAAGGGAAAUUUUACUUUUUUAAAAUUAAAAUAAGAAUCUAACAAAAGUAAACUUAUAAAAUAUGGUGCAUUCUCCUUAAAACUAAAACCUGGUGCAAAGGUUUAAAAUGUUGGCAAAAAAAAGCAACAUCAAUUAAAUAUUCUUAAUUCCCUUUGCAAAACUUACUGAGAAGAACAUGCAUGUUGUUCCCUCAUAAGUUUCUUGACAGAGGAAAUCUUGUUUAUAUUAGAUUUGAAUUAAGCAAAUUAAGAAAAAAAUUAUAAUCAUUAUUUCAAGUGGUUGUAUCUAAACCUUAUGAAUUAUUUUUCAGUUAUAAGUAUAUUGAAAUGAAUGGAUAAUCAUGAAAUUGUUAAAUAAUUGCUGCUAUCAUUCCAUUGACUAAAGAACCAUAAUUUUUUUUUUUAAUUAAUUUCAAAAUUAAUUAAUUAAUUAAUUUUCAAGCAGAGUUCACAUAGAUCUUGAGUGAAAUUUUUCUUUUUUUGACUAAUGCUUCAAUUUUAUUGUAUCAUUAGUUUUUUAUUUUUAUUACCCAGAAUAUUUUAAAAAUGAGUACACUAUUUUCAUGUAAUAAUGUAACUUGGUAUUCACACAUCAAAAUUCGCUAUAAUCUUUAGGCCAUAUAGAUUUGUAUAAAUAUAAAUUAACUUGCUUAAAUACAUUGUAAAUGUAUAUUGUUUGGAUAAGAAUAAAGUUUUUCUGUAGACAA